rnacentral:rRNA from 1 species
GACGAACGCUGGCGGCGUGCUUAACACAUGCAAGUCGAACGAGAAAGCCCUUCGGGGUAAGUACAGUGGCGAACGGGUGAGUAACACGUGGGCAACCUGCCCCAGAGAGCGGGACAACCCGGGGAAACCCGGGCUAAUACCGCAUGACGCGUCUCCACUUAAGUGGAGCCGCCAAAUGGUAGCUUCGGCCUCCGCUCUGGGAUGGGCCCGCGCCGGAUUAGCUAGUUGGUUGGGGUAACGGCCCACCAAGGCGACGAUCCGUAGCUGGUCUGAGAGGACAAGCAGCCACACUGGGACUGAGACACGGCCCAGACUCCUCCGGGAGGCAGCAGUGGGGAAUCUUGGACAAUGGGGGCAACCCUGAUCCAGCGAUGCCGCGUGUGUGAAGAAGGCCUGCGGGUUGUAAAGCACUUUUGUUGGGGAAGAAAGGGUGGUAGUGAAUAGCUACUGCAAUUGACGUUACCCAAAGAAAAAGCACCGGCUAACUCUGUGCCAGCAGCCGCGGUAA